CGGAGAGCGCAUGCGCAGCAAGCGGUUUCGCGAAGGAGAAGGCCGCUCGCAGUUGGUCGCCAUCUUGUGCUGCUGUGUUCCUAUUCGCCGCCGGGGCAUUGUGUUUAAUACCGGAGCCAAUCAGAGGGGCAAAAGCGCGGGGUUUUGUUCAGUUUUGAACUGUAUUCCGCCAAGAAUUCUGCAACACAGCCAAGUUAAUAAUGGAACAGUACACAGCAAAUAACAGCAAUUCAACUGAACAGAUAGUGGUUCAAGGACAAAUUCAACAACAGAGUCAGCCAUUAAUGGUCCAAGUUAGUGGUGGUCAAUUAAUCACAUCCACUGGUCAACCAAUCAUGGUUCAGGCAGUACCUACAGGACAAGGACAGACAAUUAUGCAGGUUCCUGUCUCUGGAGGGCAAGGUAUACAACAGAUUCAGCUGGUUCAACCAGGUCAGCUCCAGCUUCAAAGUGGACAGGCUGUUCAGGUCCAGAACCAACAAGGACAGGCACAACAAAUCAUUAUUCAACAGCCCCAAGCAGCUGUGACAGCUGGACAAACACAGCAAAUAGUACAAGGACAGCAGGUGGCACAGACUGCAGAGGGGCAGACAAUUGUGUACCAACCGGUUAAUGCAGACGGCACCAUACUCCAGCAAGGCAUGAUCACGAUUCCUGCUGCCAGUCUUGCUGGGGCUCAAAUUGUCCAGACGGGAGCCAGCACAAGCACCACAAAUAGCAGCCAGGGCACUGUAACGGUGACACUGCCUGUUGCUGGAAGCAUGGUCAAUGCAGGCGGCAUGGUGAUGAUGGUACCAGGCACUAGUACAGUUCCAGCUAUGCAACGGAUCCCCUUGCCUGGUGCAGAACUACUAGAAGAAGAACCAUUGUAUGUAAACGCCAAACAAUAUCACCGAAUCUUGAAAAGGCGACAGGCAAGAGCUAAACUAGAGGCAGAAGGUCGGAUUCCAAAAGAAAGGAGGAAAUAUCUCCAUGAGUCACGUCACCGCCAUGCUAUGCAGCGAAAGCGUGGAGAAGGAGGCCGCUUCUUUUCUCCUAAGGAGGGUGAUGAGAUUGUCAUCUCAGUCAGGCUGUGAAAAGGCGUAAGACAGAGAAAAGCCUGAAUGAUUUCUGGGUAGGCUGUAGGAAAAAACAAAAAAAAGAAACACCAGCAGAAUGAAGAAAUAGUGGGUCAGGUGAUCAGGGUGGCCUAAACCUCUGCCUUAUGCAAGUCCUUUGAAACAAACACCAAGUCAAAUUGAUGGUCUCUCCUCCAUCCAGUAUUCCUACAUUGACUGCCUCGCCUGCAUUCCUGAAACAGAAGUGGAGUUUUACAACAAAGUGGUUCUCCAGGAGAGAAAAACAUCUUUUUUUUUUGCAAGUCCUGAGAAUUUAGACUAAAGAACAUCACUGAAGUAUCAGUAAUGAAACUCACUUCAACAGGAAAAGGACUUCGAGUAACUUUUAAUCUAGAUGGAGAAAACCAAUGUUGCAGCUGCUUUCAGUGGUGAUGGUAUGGAGUCAAUAUUAGUUUUGGAUGAGUGGGGAGAACCAUCCUGAUGCUUUGUCCACUUCUAGAAAGUUGGCAAAGAUCAAAGUGUAGUGCGCUGUAAAUUUAUCAAAAACCUCAAGGGGGGGUGGGAGUUAAGAGAAACAAGUUGAAUAGUUAUCUUGUAAUGAGUGAGGGAGGAAAGGAAAGGGUUUACCUGAUGCAUUUGGUAUGUUAUUAUGAAACUUACAUGAUUUUGUAUUUUUCCAGUGUUUGUUAAUUGAGAUAAUGUACAAGUGUGUGUUUUUUUAAUUUUCAUUGUGUACCCAAUGCAAAUACUCAGUAAAAUGUAGCAGAAAGACUGCUUCCUGAGAGAUGGUAAACCAUUUUGGAAAACCAUUUAUUUUACAGAAUUGGUGUUAAAUUGGAUGCAAUUUCAGUGCUUCAAAUCUGGCUGUAAUGCGGCAAGAAAAUGUUUUUCUUAAAAGGGAUGAUAGGAUGUAUUACAAAAUAGUAAGUUAGUGCAGCAUGAGGGUCAGUAUAAACUAUAACAAUCAGAUAUUUCAACUUUUAAUCAUUUAGUUCAUCCUAAGGUAGGUCAGCUGGGACAACAAUAGAUCUUAGCCUUGGGCCUUUGACUUGUUUGGGGGAGGCCAUCACAAAAUAUUUAAGCUAUGGUUACUGCUUCUCACCAUCCUUUAGCUCCUGUUAGUACAGACGUAUGGAUGUUAAGAGAGGACAACUCAAUGGCAUUCUCCAUAGUUGAAUGACACACCAGUGUUCAUUAUCUUGCAUGAAACAUGGCAAUUUUUGUGGUCCGAGAAAUGUAUUGCAGUCAACAGAACUUUGCUCCAUUAUGUAUUGGUCCUUUUUCUUUUGUAAGGGUGAGGGCAGAAAAGUAUCCAUCACAAGAAAUGAUUAUUUUCAAAAUGCUUUUGUUUUCUUGUUUUAAUAUCAGGCUACUUUUCUCCCCCUAGAGAAACAUCGUAUGAAUUUUCUUCCUACAUUUGAAAUUAACACUACAAUGUAGCAGCAUGCAACUGCAGCCUAACUAUAAAAUCCCAUUUCUUCAAACAUUGUUGUGCUUACAUUACAGAAUAGUGUUUGUUGCCUCUUUGGAAUAAAAGGGGAGAAGGUCAUGUUUUGAAAAAUCAGCUUUUGGCUAAUAAUUUUUUUCUUUAAAAAUAAUGUCCUUUUUCAGUUGUGACUAGUAUUCAGAUCCAGCAAGGAGAAAAAAAUGGGGGUUUAAUUUUCUUGUGGGCUUGCAGAACUUCAGUUUCUGAAGAUUGGAUUAAAUGGAGUAAAAUGCCAGUCUGUUAGAAUAUACUUUCACAUUCAUUAAGAUAAAAAAUAAACAAAGAGCUGCCCUCCAGGAUGUCUGUUAAAGAUGCGAUGAAAAACGUUUGACAGUCUUCAUGUAGCACUUGAUCUUGGCCUGGCUCUUCAGUGCAUGUGUUGGAAACACAGUAUUUUUGUUUUGUCAGGUAUAUGGACUUGGUUUCAUAUCUGACCUAGGAAGGAUAAAAGGUAUUUUAUUCAUAUGAGAAACAUCCUUUCAAAUGUGGAACCAAUUUCAAAUUCAACUAUUACAGCAGAUGCAAGUCUAGGACUCUAAAAUGAAUUUGGGGCAUUCUCAAACAAUUCAUUUUCCAGUAAGCUCAAGUCUACAACAAGCCUACAUUAUGCAAUAAUUGGGUAACAAGAGAGCCAUUGGUGUAGGAAUGAAAAUGUCACUGCUCUGAGGAUCUACUGGACUUACCUGAUGAUGGAUAAUUGGUGGAAGCCAGAGAGUCCCUAGUGGCCAAAUUCUGGCAAAUGCACAGUUUGGACCAAUAACAGCCUAGGAAAUUACAAGCAGCUGUAUAACUUCAAUAGUUGGGUAAUAAGGAACUUAGCAGAACAGACUUCAUGAAGUUUGACCAUUGGCUGUAGCCCACUGUUAUGCUUGAGCAGUAAGUACUCCAGAGCAAUAAAGUAUAAAUUGGAGAGGUCUUUGAACAAUCAACAGCAAUCAAACUCAAUAUUUGCUGAUUCUGAAUGCAAUACCUUCCGCACAUGCACCUGAAGAACCAGUUAUCCAGGUAAUUGACUUUUUACCCUUGCGUCAAUUAACAUUACACAGUGACUGAGUAGCACUAAAACUCAGUUUUAAGGGCUCUGAAUAUCAGGUAGAACAUUUUAAUUGUUGCAGAUAUUAUAAAAGGUCAUGCAGAUUAUAAUUAUUUCAACCAAUGCAUUGAAAUGAGUGACUUCUUUUUGUAUAUAGGUUACAGAUUUAUAAUUUUUAUAUACGGCAUUUGGUUUGUAAGCAUGAGUCUAUGAAUUUAGCUGUAGAAGAAAAGUACUGUGUACGUGGUUCAGCUAAUAAAACCUUACCAUUUUAGUAUUUUAAAAGAAA